AUUGAACGCUGGCGGCAGGCCUAACACAUGCAAGUCGAGCGGAGCGGCGGACGGGGGAGGAAUGCCAAGGAAUCUGCAUGGUAGUGGGGGAUAACGUCCGGAAACGGGCGCUAAUACCGAAACCUAUCAGCUGAGCAUAGGUCGGAUUUGCUAGUUGGUGGGGUAAAGGCCUACCAAGGCGACGAUCCGUAACUGGUCUGAGAGGAUGAUCAGUCACACUGUAACUGAGACACGGUCCAGCCUCCUACGGGAGGCAUCAGUGGGGAAUAUUGGACAAUGGGCGAAAGCCUGAUCCAGCCAUGCCGCGUGUGUGAAGAAGGUCUUCGGAUUGUAAAGCACUUUAAGUUGGGAGGCGUUACCCACAGAAUAAGCACCGGCUAACUUCGUGCCAGCAGCCGCGGUAAUUC
rnacentral:rRNA from 1 species